UAAUACCAGCUCCCCGAGUGGUUGGGACGAUUAUUGGGCCUAAAGCAUCCGUAGCCUGUUUUGUGGGUCUCAUGUUAAAUCCAUUCGCUUAACGAAUGGUCUGCAUGAGAUACCGCAUUACUAGGAGGCGGGAGACGUGAACGGUAUUCCAUGGGUAGGGGUAAAAUCCUCUGAACCAUGGAAGACCACCAGAGGCGAAGGCGGUUCACGAGAACGCGCUCGACGGUGAGGGAUGAAAGCUGGGGUAGCGAACCGGAUUAGAUACCCGGGUAGUCCCAGCUGUAAACGAUGCAAGCUAGGUGAUGGAUUAGCCAUGUGUUAAUCCAGUGCCGCAGGGAAGCCGUUAAGCUUGCCGCCUGGGGAGUACGGUCGCAAGGCUG
rnacentral:rRNA from 2 species